GGGGAUGUAGCUCAGUGGGAGAGCGCAUGCUUCGCGCAUGUAUGAAGUCCUGGGUUCAAUCCCCAGCAUCUCCA